rnacentral:lncRNA from 1 species
GUAUCUUUUAGCCGAAAAGUGUAAAUUGCUCAAAGUAAAUGAUAUGCUUGAAAAAGUAGUUAAAAUUAAACAGUUAAUAUCUACAGAUACUUAUAUCGUCGACAACAUGAUUAUAGGUUCCAAAUUUGAGGUAAGUCAUUUAAACGAUUUAAACGAUGCACGGCGGUUUACAAACUUGAUAGAUAAAACAAUGAAAAAAAAUCAAUUUAUCAGAAACGAAACAGAGAGGAAUAAGAUACAAAAUGAAAAUUCAAACUCAUAAGUCUAAAAGGAACCGACAAUGCCACUACAAAAAAAAACAAGAACCAAACAAAAGACAAACACAUAUAUUAACAAUCCUUUCGAAAAAAAGUCUUUAUCUCAUAAAAAUAAGCCAAGCACACCUUGGAUUUAGUGUCAAGUAAACCUUAGCUAUUCAGCUUCCCAUUGCACCAUGUGACGAAAAAAGUAUUGCCGUAGAACAUCUUUCAUUAACAUUUCCGGAAGGGUGGAGUAGGGUGUCCGACC